GAUGAACGCUAGCUACAGGCUUAACACAUGCAAGUCGAGGGGCAGCAUGAACUUAGCUUGCUAAGUUUGAUGGCGACCGGCGCACGGGUGAGUAACACGUAUCCAACCUGCCGAUGACUCGGGGGAUAGCCUUUUCGAAAGAAAGAUUAAUACCCGAUGGCAUAGUUCUUCCGCAUGGUAGAACUAUUAAAGAAUUUCGGUCAUCGAUGGGGAUGCGUUCCAUUAGGUUGUUGCGGGGUAACGGCCCACCAAGCCUUCGAUGGAUAGGGGUUCUGAGAGGAAGGUCCCCCACAUUGGAACUGAGACACGGUCCAAACUCCUACGGGAGGCAGCAGUGAGGAAUAUUGGUCAAUGGACGAGAGUCUGAACCAGCCAAGUAGCGUGAAGGAUGACUGCCCUAUGGGUUGUAAACUUCUUUAUAAAGGAAUAAAGUCGGGUAUGGAUACCCGUUUGCAUGUACCUUAUGAAUAAGGACCGGCUAAUUCCGUG
rnacentral:rRNA from 1 species